AUUUAAGCAUUUAUUGAUUCUAACAUUAACGGUUUAAUCGUCAACAUUGUAUUUAAUAUUUUCACAUUUUUGAACACUAUUCUUUUUGUUAACAACAUCGAACAUUAUUCUCCUAAGAUAUUUUUUCCUUCUCCGCAUAUUUUGACUUGAGCCAUCACCAUCUAUGUAUUUCGUUUACAUUUCCAGUGUGCGGUGUUUCUUGCCAUCAC
rnacentral:lncRNA from 1 species